AUGUAGGGCAGUGGCCGGGUCUGCUCGCCGGGGUCAGGAAGGCUGUUCUUCCAGGAAGGGCUGCAAAGACCCUGGGAACGGGACCAGCCCAGCUCACAAGUAUGAAGAGAAUGUCGGGAGAGGAAGUGGUGGCUGUGAGUCAGCAUGAGUCAUCUCGUUCCAAUGAGAAUGAAGAUUGAGGUGUGCGCCUUUUUUUUUGAGUCUCAAUCGUGUGGACAUCAUUGGGAAUGGAGGGAAAUAACUGACUGUAUGGUCGUUGCUUUUUAAGUUUCAAACUGACAUUCCAGGCGGGCUGUGCCCGAGCCAGCAUCUGUUUUCACAUCUUCACAGCCUGGUCCUGGGAAGGUGGAGCCCACAGCUUCUCCCUGAUGGGCAAAGUGACGAGCUGGAGGGGAUAGGACACGGCUGAAGGCUGAGGCGUGCAGCCUCCAGCAUCUCUCUUCUUUACGAACUGGAUCCCUACAAGGAGAUUCUCAAGCUGGCAACAUGAUUGUCCACAUAGAAGAAUAAGCUGUCCUCCUUUCACUGACUGCAUUGAUCAAGCAAGUGCUUCCACUUGUUCUGAGGGUGUUGCUGCAGCAGACAGAAGCACAGGGGCUGAGAGCACAGCUUGGGCGUGGUAGACCAGAUGGACACCCCAACUCCACCAUUCCCCCUGGGCACCUUCCUUGACCUCUCUGAACUUUGGUCCCCUCAUCUGAAAUGGAGGUUAUGGCAGAAACAAGAGCCUAUAGUGGUUGUGAGUAUUAAGUGAGAGCAAUGUACAGACAGCUGAGCAGUGUACUUGCUGCAGGUAUUACUACUACUUGCUGCUGUUGUAGGUGAUCCUGCACUGUCUGCUGUGCUGCCCCCAGGACUGUCACUGGAGCCAAGAAAACUCAAUUCUCCUGCUCAGUGGUCCUGUGACUUGUCAACUCACACAUCCAUUCUGAGCUUCACUGCAGAAUGGUUAUAAAUGGUUUAUUUAUAACAUGGUGACAAUAACCCCUCUCUCAUAAGGUUCUUGUUAAGACAGGAUGAAACAACAAAUAAAAGUGCUUUGAGCACUUUAAUAAUAAUAAUGAUAAUGAUAAUAAUAAUAACAGCAGCUAAAAUUUUUUGAGCACUCCCUAGCACCAGCACCAUGGAUUGCUUUCUACUUACAACAUUUCACUUAAUCCUUAUAACCAUGAGUUAUUCGUCUAAUUUAUGUAGAUUGGGAAACUAGUCCCCAAGAAGUAAUCUGCCCAAAGACACAGCUUGUGAGCCGUAGAAUCCAGAUUGGACCCCCAGGAUCUGGCUGUGUUCUCAUGCUUCCCAGAGAAAGUAAGCCAGUGAGGGAAAGAACAGCUUGGCCUGGGGCUCACUUCCACUGGAAAGCUCUGUAUGAUGGAUCCAUGAAGUUUUCCUUGAAGAUCUCUGCCCAGAGUGCAACAAAGAGGCCACUAGUUGAAUAAUUCCCACAAUCCCAUGAUAUGGUGGAGGUCCAUAUGUGAGGGGUGGGCACUCUAUGGAAAGGUCUCCUUUGUGAAGGACGGUGGGCUACAGCCUAAGAGCCUACCAAUUCUAAGAGUCUGGGAUUUGUUUCCUUUUUAUAGCCUGGCUAUAUUUAGGUCAAUGAAUUGUAUUCAAGAUGGACUCGUCAGUACUUCAUUCAAUGCAUUCUUUCAUUGAAAAGUUAUUGAAAGGACUUGUGCUCCAGACAGGGUAGCAUAAAGUCAUUACUCUCUUCUCUCCUCUCAGCUAGGGACAAUGAUAAACUCUGGAAACACUGCAAGAAGCAACCAUUAAGAGAGUGAAAAGGCAAGCCACAGAGUGGGAGAAGAUACUUGCAGAUCAUAAAACUGAUAAGAGACUUGUAUCCAGAAGACAUUAAAAAUUUCCAUAAAUCAUUAAUAACCCAGUAGAAAAAAAUGAGCCAAAGACUUGGAUAGGCACUUCACAAAGAAGGGAUAUAGUUUACCAGUAAACGUGAGAAGCAGAGUGCACAGUGAAAUCCCAAGGAGACACACCUACACGCCUGCCAGAGUGGCUGAAAAUGAACAGACUAAUAACCUAAGUGCUGGCGAGGAUAUGGGGCAAAUACACCUGCCAUCCACUGGCUAGUGGGGGCGUGAAGUGGUACCAUGACUCUGGAAAAUUGUUUGGCAGUAUUGAGUGCUGAGUGUUGUAAUACCCUCAUGGCUCAGCAUUUCUACCCCUCUGUAUACACCCAACUGAAACACGUACUUAUUAACACUGAAGGCAUGUACAGAGCUGCUCGUAACCGUCCAGUUAUAGUAGCCAAAGACUGGAAACAACAGUGGAAUGGAUUAAUGUAUUGUGGCGUCCUUAACAGUGAAACUGAACAAUCGAACGCAGCACACGGUAACACAGAACUGAGAUCUCCACGCCCAGUGAGAGAACCGAGACAACCAAGAGGGUUGAAUGGCUCUACAUACACCAAGUUCAAGAACAGACAAAGCUGAUGAAGAUUGAAGUCCAGACGGUAGUUAUGUGGGGAUGUAACUGGGAAGAGGCACAAGGGGUGCUGAGGUGCAGCUAAUGUCCUGUUUCUUGAACUGGGCAGUGAUUUCAUAGGUUUGGACGCUGUGAACAUCUGUCGAGCUCUUAUGCUUAUCAUUCGUGCACUUUUCUCUCUGCGUGUUUCGCUUCAAUAAAGAGUUUACUUAAAAGAA